rnacentral:rRNA from 1 species
UAAGGUAGCGAAAUUCCUUGUCGGGUAAGUUCCGACCUGCACGAAUGGUGCAACGACUUGGGCGCUGUCUCAGCCAUGAGCUCGGUGAAAUUGUAGUAUCGGUGAAGAUGCCGAUUACCCGCAACGGGACGAAAAGACCCCGUGAACCUUUACUAUAGCUUUGCAUUGGCAAUGGGUAAGAGAUGUGUAGGAUAGGUGGGAGACGUUGAAAUGGCCUCGCUAGGGGUGGUGGAGUCGUUGGUGAAAUACCACCCUUCUUUUAUCUGUUGUCUAACCACUACGGUGGGACAUUGCAUGGUGGGUAGUUUGACUGGGGUGGUCGCCUCCAAAAGAGUAACGGAGGCUUCUAAAGGUACCCUCAGUACGCUUGGUAACCGUGCGUAGAGUGCAAUGGCAUAAGGGUGCUUGACUGAGAGAGAUACAGCUCGAUCAGGUUGGAAACUAGAGCAUAGUGAUCCGGUGGUUCCGCAUGGAAGGGCCAUCGCUCAAAGGAUAAAAGGUACUCCGGGGAUAACAGGCUGAUCUCCCCCAAGAGCUCAUAUCGACGGGGAGGUUUGGCACCUCGAUGUCGGCU